rnacentral:rRNA from 1 species
UACGUAGGGGGCUAGCGUUGUCCGGAAUCAUUGGGCGUAAAGCGCGUGUAGGCGGUCCGGUAAGUCCGCUGUGAAAGUCGGGGGGCUCAACCCUCGGAUGCCGGUGGAUACUGUCGGGCUUGAGUACGGAAGAGGCGAGUGGAAUUCCUGGUGUAGCGGUGAAAUGCGCAGAUAUCAGGAGGAACACCGGUGGCGAAGGCGGGUCUCUGGGCCGAUACUGACGCUGAGGUGCGAAAGCGUGGGGAGCAAACAGG